UACGUAGGGGGCAAGCGUUGUCCGGAAUCAUUGGGCGUAAAGCGCGCGUAGGCGGCCCGGUAAGUCCGCUGUAAAAGUCCAGGGCUCAACCCUGGAAGGCCGGUGGAUACUGCCGGGCUAGAGUCCGGAAGAGGAGAGUGGAAUUCCCGGUGUAGCGGUGGAAAUGCGCAGAUAUCGGGAAGAACACCCGUGGCGAAGGCGGCUCUCUGGGACGGUACUGACGCUGAGGAGCGAAAGCGUGGGGAGCGAACAGG
rnacentral:rRNA from 1 species